UUAAGCGACUAAGCGUACACGGUGGAUGCCCUGGCAGUCAGAGGCGAUGAAGGACGUGCUAAUCUGCGAUAAGCGUCGGUGAGGUGAUAUGAACCGUUAUAACCGGCGAUUUCCGAAUGGGGAAACCCAGUGUGUUUCGACACACUAUCAUUAACUGAAUCCAUAGGUUAAUGAGGCGAACCGGGGGAACUGAAACAUCUAAGUACCCCGAGGAAAAGAAAUCAACCGAGAUUCCCCCAGUAGCGGCGAGCGAACGGGGAGGAGCCCAGAGCCUGAAUCAGUGUGUGUGUUAGUGGAAGCGUCUGGAAAGGCGCGCGAUACAGGGUGACAGCCCCGUACACAAAAAUGCACAUAUUGUGAGCUCGAUGAGUAGGGCGGGACACGUGGUAUCCUGUCUGAAUAUGGGGGGACCAUCCUCCAAGGCUAAAUACUCCUGACUGACCGAUAGUGAACCAGUACCGUGAGGGAAAGGCGAAAAGAACCCCGGCGAGGGGAGUGAAAAAGAACCUGAAACCGUGUACGUACAAGCAGUGGGAGCCUCUUAAUGGGGUGACUGCGUACCUUUUGUAUAAUGGGUCAGCGACUUAUAUUCUGUAGCAAGGUUAACCGAAUAGGGGAGCCGAAGGGAAACCGAGUCUUAACUGGGCGUUAAGUUGCAGGGUAUAGACCCGAAACCCGGUGAUCUAGCCAUGGGCAGGUUGAAGGUUGGGUAACACUAACUGGAGGACCGAACCGACUAAUGUUGAAAAAUUAGCGGAUGACUUGUGGCUGGGGGGGAAAGGCCAAUCAAACCGGGAGAUAGCUGGUUCUCCCCGAAAGCUAUUUAGGUAGCGCCUCGUGAAUUCAUCUCCGGGGGUAGAGCACUGUUUCGGCAAGGGGGUCAUCCCGACUUACCAACCCGAUGCAAACUGCGAAUACCGGAGAAUGUUAUCACGGGAGACACACGGCGGGUGCUAACGUCCGUCGUGAAGAGGGAAACAACCCAGACCGCCAGCUAAGGUCCCAAAGUCAUGGUUAAGUGGGAAACGAUGUGGGAAGGCCCAGACAGCCAGGAUGUUGGCUUAGAAGCAGCCAUCAUUUAAAGAAAGCGUAAUAGCUCACUGGUCGAGUCGGCCUGCGCGGAAGAUGUAACGGGGCUAAACCAUGCACCGAAGCUGCGGCAGCGACACUAUGUGUUGUUGGGUAGGGGAGCGUUCUGUAAGCCUGUGAAGGUAGCCUGUGAGGGUUGCUGGAGGUAUCAGAAGUGCGAAUGCUGACAUAAGUAACGAUAAAGCGGGUGAAAAGCCCGCUCGCCGGAAGACCAAGGGUUCCUGUCCAACGUUAAUCGGGGCAGGGUGAGUCGACCCCUAAGGCGAGGCCGAAAGGCGUAGUCGAUGGGAAACAGGUUAAUAUUCCUGUACUUGGUGUUACUGCGAAGGGGGGACGGAGAAGGCUAUGUUGGCCGGGCGACGGUUGUCCCGGUUUAAGCGUGUAGGCUGGUUUUCCAGGCAAAUCCGGAAAACCAAGGCUGAGGCGUGAUGACGAGGCACUACGGUGCUGAAGCGACAAAUGCCCUGCUUCCAGGAAAAGCCUCUAAGCAUCAGGUAACAUCAAAUCGUACCCCAAACCGACACAGGUGGUCAGGUAGAGAAUACCAAGGCGCUUGAGAGAACUCGGGUGAAGGAACUAGGCAAAAUGGUGCCGUAACUUCGGGAGAAGGCACGCUGAUAUGUAGGUGAAGCGACUUGCUCGUGGAGCUGAAAUCAGUCGAAGAUACCAGCUGGCUGCAACUGUUUAUUAAAAACACAGCACUGUGCAAACACGAAAGUGGACGUAUACGGUGUGACGCCUGCCCGGUGCCGGAAGGUUAAUUGAUGGGGUUAGCGGUAACGCGAAGCUCUUGAUCGAAGCCCCGGUAAACGGCGGCCGUAACUAUAACGGUCCUAAGGUAGCGAAAUUCCUUGUCGGGUAAGUUCCGACCUGCACGAAUGGCGUAAUGAUGGCCAGGCUGUCUCCACCCGAGACUCAGUGAAAUUGAACUCGCUGUGAAGAUGCAGUGUACCCGCGGCAAGACGGAAAGACCCCGUGAACCUUUACUAUAGCUUGACACUGAACAUUGAGCCUUGAUGUGUAGGAUAGGUGGGAGGCUUUGAAGUGUGGACGCCAGUCUGCAUGGAGCCGACCUUGAAAUACCACCCUUUAAUGUUUGAUGUUCUAACGUUGGUCCGUAAUCCGGGUUGCGGACAGUGUCUGGUGGGUAGUUUGACUGGGGCGGUCUCCUCCUAAAGAGUAACGGAGGAGCACGAAGGUUGGCUAAUCCUGGUCGGACAUCAGGAGGUUAGUGCAAUGGCAUAAGCCAGCUUGACUGCGAGCGUGACGGCGCGAGCAGGUGCGAAAGCAGGUCAUAGUGAUCCGGUGGUUCUGAAUGGAAGGGCCAUCGCUCAACGGAUAAAAGGUACUCCGGGGAUAACAGGCUGAUACCGCCCAAGAGUUCAUAUCGACGGCGGUGUUUGGCACCUCGAUGUCGGCUCAUCACAUCCUGGGGCUGAAGUAGGUCCCAAGGGUAUGGCUGUUCGCCAUUUAAAGUGGUACGCGAGCUGGGUUUAGAACGUCGUGAGACAGUUCGGUCCCUAUCUGCCGUGGGCGCUGGAGAACUGAGGGGGGCUGCUCCUAGUACGAGAGGACCGGAGUGGACGCAUCACUGGUGUUCGGGUUGUCAUGCCAAUGGCACUGCCCGGUAGCUAAAUGCGGAAGAGAUAAGUGCUGAAAGCAUCUAAGCACGAAACUUGCCCCGAGAUGAGUUCUCCCUGACUCCUUGAGAGUCCUGAAGGAACGUUGAAGACGACGACGUUGAUAGGCCGGGUGUGUAAGCGCAGCGAUGCGUUGAGCUAACCGGUACUAAUGAACCGUGAGGCUUAACCUU
rnacentral:rRNA from 2 species